rnacentral:tRNA from 1 species
UUUAAGAUAGGUUAUACAAUAAACCUAAAAGUUUAUAUCUUUAGAAAUCUCUUUAAAAGAAAUCUUAAAA